ACGCUGGCGGCGUGCUUAACACAUGCAAGUCGAACGAUGAAGCCUUUCGGGGUGGAUUAGUGGCGAACGGGUGAGUAACACGUGGGCAAUCUGCCCUUCACUCUGGGACAAGCCCUGGAAACGGGGUCUAAUACCGGAUAACACUCUGUCCCGCAUGGGACGGGGUUAAAAGCUCCGGCGGUGAAGGAUGAGCCCGCGGCCUAUCAGCUUGUUGGUGGGGUAAUGGCCUACCAAGGCGACGACGGGUAGCCGGCCUGAGAGGGCGACCGGCCACACUGGGACUGAGACACGGCCCAGACUCCUACGGGAGGCAGCAGUGGGGAAUAUUGCACAAUGGGCGAAAGCCUGAUGCAGCGACGCCGCGUGAGGGAUGACGGCCUUCGGGUUGUAAACCUCUUUCAGCAGGGAAGAAGCGAAAGUGACGGUACCUGCAGAAGAAGCGCCGGCUAACUACGUGCCAGCAGCCGCGGUAAUACGUAGGGCGCAAGCGUUGUCCGGAAUUAUUGGGCGUAAAGAGCUCGUAGGCGGCUUGUCACGUCGGAUGUGAAAGCCCGGGGCUUAACCCCGGGUCUGCAUUCGAUACGGGCUAGCUAGAGUGUGGUAGGGGAGAUCGGAAUU
rnacentral:rRNA from 1 species